UCCACACACCUCAUCAUGAUGAGGCAUGUGCUAAGAGAGGCAUCCCAUCAUGAUGGGGUGCUAAGGAGAAGGGUGUAUCAACUUCUUUCUCAUGUCUCUCUCUUAAAUCCUGAUGAUCCAAGGGCCCAAAUGCAGUGAACCAAAGCCAAUGGUCCAGAUCUAGGCACCAUCUAAUGGUCCAGAUCAAGGCAUCAUCAUCCAGGAUGCCAUCCAAUGGUCCAGAAGCAAGAUGCCAUCACCGAUGGUCCAGAUUCAGGUGCUGAGCAACGGUCCAGAUCUUUCAUCCAAAGAGACAUCCAGUGGUCCAGAUUCAGGCGCUGACCAAUGGUCCAGAUCCUUCAUCCAGAAAUCCAUCCAAUGGUUCAGAUGAAGGUGCCAACCAGUGGACCAGAUCCUUCAUCCAGGAAACCAUCCAAUGGUCCAGAUGAAGGCGCCAACCAGUGGACCAGAUCCUUCAUCCAGGGAGUGAUCCAAUGGUCCAGAAGUGAAGGCCCUAUCAAACCCAAUCCAAUUGGGUUUAACCAACUUAAAGAAAAUAUUAAACCUAAUCAAAUCAGGUCUAAUUAAAGCCAAAUGGGUUCCAACUCUUGGCU
rnacentral:lncRNA from 1 species